rnacentral:lncRNA from 1 species
UGCCUAUACACACCCAUAGCCUACAACAGCCGCUGCCCUUGGACGACUUUCUAUCGUGUCUGCCUCAUUCCCUUUCUCGCCGGCCAGCUGCCGGACUUGACAACCGGCGAGUUUGGUCGUCCACCACACCCCUUUCUUGAACCCUAGACCCUAGGAAACAAAACCAGCGACAUACCUGAGCAGUGAAACCCACCCCUGUUUUCCAACGUCUUCACCAGUCCCAUCCCCAAGAGUCAUACACACACAACCACACCUCCGAGAGCAAGAAUCAGAAAAAUAUUCACCAUAAAGUAUCCAGAUUUCGGCCAUUCCAAGAUCGCUUAUCUGAACGUUGGUUUUGUUAUAUAAAAGUAUUCCAUCUCAAGAGCCAUAUGAACACAACAAUUAUACUAUUUUGAAGCUAAUGAACGCUCAUUUCAACAAUAUGAGUUAUCUAAAAUUCAAGUUUUUUUGGAAGUUAGUUCAAUAAGAAAAUCUGGACCGAAAAGAAUUAAACAAAAAUGAAGGUUGUUUCAUUUGGUUUUGGUUUCCGGAUGGAGUGAAGGUGAAACGGGUUUUUGAUCGUGGGAUUUGCUGUUCGAGGUUGCCGAAGGUCGUUGUCCGAGGUCCCUGUUCAGUCGUCCGUCCAAGAUUUUGGUCUUAGAUAUUUUCAGGUUCAAAUUAGCUUUUGAGGUCCAUUUCUUACCUUGAAUUUUAAAAUUUUUUUUCUGUGUUUUGUUUCUUUGAUAACUAUGGCUGCCAUAUGAUGGUUUAUGCCUAGUUUGAUUUGUUGUGCCUAGUUUGAAUUCGGUGUUUUAUUUGGAAUGGGAACGAAUUAGUUAGCUGAUUUUGAUUUGGAUAUUACGGAAAUAUACGCGUGCUAUGAUUUGGUAUUCUUAUACGUUCUCACAGUAGGCUCAAUUCAGAAUUAAGUGGUAGCUAUCGUGAAUAUGAAGUGAUCCAAUAGUGAAAAAUUGUUGCUUGAUUUGAGACUUAGUAAUUCAGCCGGUAAACCAUUUGACCCCAUGUGUUAGUAAUUAUAGUGCACCUUAUUCUACUCUAUGAUUCCUUGGUAUGGUUACGAUAUAUAAAUCUCAAUCCGGGUGUGCAUUUCAUGUGACCCGACCAUAAAUAAUAAUAAUAAAAAAUAAAUAUGUUGCAAACUUGGGUGUGCAUUUAUGUGACCCAAAUCCAACUCUCAACAAUGUUAGAUAAAAUAUGUCGGAGACCGUGGGUGCAUUUAUGUGACGUGGUUCAAGACGUGUUUUAAAUAAUAUUGAAAUCUUCCUAAAAAAUAACUAAAUAAAAGCGGUUAUAAAGUUAAAAUUGCACCAUGGGCUGAAACAUGUACUAAAAUCAAGUAAAUAGGCCAAUAUAAUAGUUGAGCGACCGUGCUAGUACCACGAAACUCGGGAAUGCCUAACACCUUCUCCCGGGUUAAAAAAAUUCCUUACUCGGAUUUCUGGUUCGCGGAAUGUUAAAUAGAGUCAAUCUUUUCCUCGAUUUGAGAUUUGAACCGGUGACUUGGGACACCAUAAAAUUAUCCCAAGUGUCAACUCUGAAUUUUUAAUAAAAUAAUUCCGUUUCGAUUGUCACUUAAAUUGGAAAAAACUCCUUUAUACCCUCUCUUCCGGGGGUGCAGGAAAAAGGAGGUGUAACACUUGUAUCUUCUCAUUAAUCCAUCAUGUCCCGCUAUUUUGGAUCGUCACGCUUAGAUCGUGACAUUGGUAAUGGCGGAAUUGCCUAGUAUUGAGUGGAGAGGUUCUCUAGACUAUAUUCCCAGUAGAGUGAUUCAUAUUUGAAGGCCCAACGGAUGGUUGGGAAGGGAUGACUGACAUAUUUGGCCUUUGUGAGGGAUGUUGUUAUUCAUACUCAUACUAUUAAGUCUGUUACGAUAAAGAGAGACAUUCCGGAUAUAUUUCAUCCGGACCUGCCAAGCAUUCCACCCGACAGGGACAUUGAUUUUGGUAUUGACUUGGUGCCGGGCACUCAACCCAUCUCUAUUCCUCUGUAUCGUAUGGCACUAACAGAGUUGAAAGAAUUGAAAGAACAACUUCAGGAACUACUUGAUAAAGGUUUCAUCAGGCCUACUAUGCCACCUUUGGGUGCACCGGUUCUUUUUAUAAAGAAGGAUAAUACUAUGAAGAUGUGCAUUGGUAACAUACAGCUGAACAAAGUUAUAAUAGAACAGGUAUCCUUUACGAUUAAUUGAUGACUUAUUUGACCAGCUUUAGGGUGCUAGAGUGUUCUCUAAGAUUAAUUUGAGAUUAGGGUAUCAUCAGCUAAAGAUUUGAGAUUCUAAUAUUCUAUAAACUUCAUUCAAGACCCGCUACGGUCACUACGAGUUUCUUGUGAUGUCUUUUAGGCUGACUAAUGACCCAACAAUAUUUAUGUAUUUGAUGAACAUUGUAUUCCAUCCAUAUCCUGACUCUUUUGUCAUAGUAUUCAUUGAUGAUAAGCAGCAUCUUAGGAUUGUAGUCCAGACUUUGAGGGAGAAGAAGCUUUAUGCUAAAUUCUCCAAGUGUAAAUUUUUGCUUGAUUUUGUGGCGUUCUUGGGGCACGUGUUGUUCAGUGAGGGGAUCAUGGUGGAUCCGAAGAAGAUUGAGGCAAUUCAGAGUUGGCCCAGACCGUUUCUAGCUACUAAGAUUCGAACUUUUCUUGGUUUGUCCAUUUAUAUUAUCACCGUUUUGUGGUGGGGUUUUCGUCCAUUGCUGCACAUUUGACCAGAUUCACCCAGAAGGGUUCCCUAUUUAGGUGGUCUGAUGAGUGUGAAGAGAGCUUUUAGAAGCUCAACACUGCCUUGACCACAGCUCCACUUCUAGUAUUGCCUUCAUCUUUGGGAUCAUAUACUAUUUAUUAUGAUGCUUCUUAGAUUGGUAUUGGGUGUCGUUCAUGACCUCGAGUUGGCAGCUAUUGUUCAUGCUUUGAAGAUUUUGAGGCAUUAUCUCUACGACGUGUCUUAUGAGAUAUUUACAGAUCAUCGAAGUCUACAAUACUUGUAUAAGAAAAAAGAUCUAAAUUUUAGAUAGUGGAGGUGAUUGGAGCUAUUAAAAGAUAAUGAUAUCACUAUUUUGUAUCAUAUGGGGAAGGCCAAUAUGGUGUCUAAUUCCCUGAGUAGAAAGGCAGAGAGUGUGGGUAGCCUUGCAUAUAUUCCAGUCCGUGAGAGACCGUUAGCAUUGGGUGUUCACGGUUUGUCCAAUUAGUUCGUGAUGUUAGAUGUUUUGGAGCCUAAUUAGAGAGCGUCAACAUGAGGACCCCUAUUUUCUUGUCCUUAAGGACACAGUGCACCAUAGUGAUGCCAAUGAGGUUUCUAUUGGAUAUGAUAGGGUGUUGCGUAUGUAAGGUCGGAUUUGUGUGCCCAAUAUGGAUGGGUAACGUGUGUUGACUCUUGAGGAGACCCACAGUUUGUGGUAUUCCAUUCAUCCGGAUGUUGCAAAAUUGUAUCAGGACUUGAGGCAAUAUUAUUUGUGGAGGACACUGAAGAAAGAUAUAGUGGAGUAUAUGGCUUGAUGCUUAAACUAUCAACAUGUGAAGUACGAGCAUCAGAGGCCAGGUAGUUUGCUUCAGAGACUUGAGAUUCCUGAUUGAAAAUGGGAGCAUAUUACCAUGGACUUCGUUGUUGGGCUCCCAUGGACAUGGAAGAAAUUCGAUGUUGUUUGAGUGAUUGUAGACCGAUUGACUAUGUCAGCGUAUUUAAUUCUAGUUGUGAUCACCUAUUCUUCAGAGCGGCUGGCUCAGAUCUAUAUCUGCGAGAUUGUUACCCUUCAUAGCAAUCCAUUGUCCAUCAUUUCUGUUCGAGGAACGCAUUUCACAUCAUAGUUUUGGAGAGCAGUGCAUCGAGAUUUGGGCACACGGGUUGAGUUUACAAUAUUCCACCCCUAGACGGAUGGACAGAUCAAGCGCACCAUUUAGAUUUUGGAGGAUAUGUUAUGCUCUUGUGUUAUGGUUUUCGAGGGUUCUUGGGAUUAGUUUCUACCACAUGUAGAGUUUUCCUAUAACAAUAGCUACUAAUCGAGUAUUCAGAUGGCUCCUUAUGAGGACUUAUAAGGGAGUCGGUGUCGUUCCCCUAUUGGUUGGUUUGGUCCGGAAGAGGCUAGGUGGUUAGGUACCGAUUUGGUUCAGGAUGCCUUAGAGAAAGUCAAGUUGAUUCAAGACCGGCUUCGUAUAGCACAGUCUAGACAUAAGGGCUACGCUGAUCGAAAAGUUCAUGAUAUUGCCUAUAUGGCGAGAGAGAAGGUAUUGCUCAGAGUUUCACACAUGAAGGGUGUAAUGAGGUUCAUGAAGAAAGGAAAAUUGAGCCCUCGGUAUAUCGGCACUUUUGAGGUUCUUGAUAGGAUUAGAGAGGGUGCCUACAAGCUUACAUUGCCACCUACUCAAUCGGGUGUUCACCCAGUGUUUCAUGUUUCUAUGCUCCAGGAGCAUUAUGGUGAUCUGUUUCAUGUUUUAGACUUCAACACAAUGCAAUUAGAUGGAAACUUGACUUAUGAUGUGGAGCCGACGACCAUUUUGGAUCGACAUGUUUGAAAUUUAAGAUUAAAGGAUAUAGCUUUAGUGAAGGUUUAGUAGAGAGGCUAGCAAGUCGAUGAGGCUACUUGACAGACCAAGCAGGAAAUGUAGAGUAGAUAUCCACAACUAUUUGAGAUUCCAUUUAUGAUUCUAGAACUGUUCGAGGAUGAACAUUUGUUUAAGAGGGGAGAAUGUGACGACCCGGCCGGUCAUCUUAUGUAUUGUAUCCCUGUUCCCUAGUUUGUUGCUUAUUCUAUGUUCACUUGUGGUUACAUAACUUGCUAGGUGGUUGGUUUAGUUUCGGAGUUGUUUCGGAGUGAAUUGGGACACUUAGUCCCAAAGUUGGAAGCUUAAGUUAACAAAUCUUCGAGCAUCGUUUUCCUCAGCUCGAUCGCGGCCCAUAAGCUCACGAUCGCGAGGUAUGAAUUGUGUUUUUUUCUCUUCACAGACACCCUUAGGUUUAAUGGCCAUAAUGUUUCUUACAAAAUUCCAAAUUAUAAACGGUUUGAUUUUCUGAAAACUUGAUCCAAAGGGCUACAACUUUUAUUUAUGGAUCAUUAUAGAUUGCAAGAUAUAAGCUCUCAAAGUCAAACCAUUGAUAGCAGGAAUUCCUUCUUCGUGAUUAACAUGCCAAGAUUGUUAUCUUGGUGAUGCCAGAGUUUCCUAUAUUGGAGUGGAGGGUUUCAUCUUACAGUACAUCUAGCCAGAUUAUCUCUUUCUUGAAGGCUUGACAUAUGGUCGAAAAGGGUUAUUUGGGCUAUUUGGCUUAUGUUCGGAAUACCGCUGUAGAGACUCCCACAAUUGAUUUAGUGUUUGUGGUGCGGGAGUUCUCCGAUGUACUUAUCUACCAGGCAUGCCACCAGAUCGUGAUAUCGAUUUCUGUAUUGAUUUGGCACCAAGCACCUAUCCUAUCUCUAUUCCACCAUACCCGAUGGCUCCAAAGUAGUUGAGGGAGUUGAAGGAAUAGCUUGAGGAAUUGCUUGCGAAGGGGUUCAUCAGGAUGAAUGUGUCGCCUUGGGGUGCACCUGUAUUUUCUGUUAAGAAGAAGGAUGAGAGUAUGUGGAUGUGCAUGAUUACCUCCAGUUUAACAAAGUAACCAUUAAGAACAAGUACCCAUUUUCGUGCAUUAAUGAUUUGUUUGACCAGUUACAGGGUGACAGGGUGUUCUCUAAGAUCAACUUGAGGUCUGGGUAUCAUCAGUUGAUGAUUCGUGCUUCAAAUGUUCCAAAGACGCAUUUCUGGACUAGAUAUGGGCACUAUGAGUUUCUAGCGAUGUCCUUCGGCUGGACAAACUCCCCGGUGGCGUUCAUGGAUUUGAUGAACCGGGUGUUCAAUCCAUAUCUUGACUCAUUUAUCAUUUUCUUCAUUGAUGACAUACUGAUCUACUCGUGUAGUAUGUAAGAUCAUGAGCAACAUUUGAGAGUUGUGCUUUAGACCUUGCGAGAACAGAAGCUAUAUGCUAAAUUCUCCAAGUGCGAGUUCUAGUGAGAUUUUGUGGCAUUCUUGGGUCAUGUUGUAUCAGAUGAGGGUAUUAAGGUAGAUCCCAGGAAGAUUGAGGCAAUUUAGAGUUGGCCUUGUCCAACCACAGUGACCGAGAUUAGGAGUUUCUUAAGGUUAGCAGGUUAUUAUUGCCAGUUUAUAGAGGGCUUCUCAUCUAUUACAACACCUUUGUGUUGAUACCCAAUUUUCUCUGUAUAUUUUAUAUAUGCAAAAUACUUUCAAAAUAUCAUAUGUAUGCAUAUAUAGGUAUAUCCAAACGUUUCAGUAUUUUUCCUAAUUUUAAAAAGAUUUUUAAAUCGAUUUAUUGCCCUAUUUUAGCAAUACAAAAACUAAUAAUUAUUCCCAAAAUCAUCAUUUGGUGAAUAACUUAUUUUAUUCUCACAUUUAUACCAAAAUAUAGCUAAGGUAAAGUUUUUGCACAUUUUUGUAAAUUUAUUUAGUAUUUUAAAAGUUAAAUUGCAUUUAAUUGCAAUUUUAGCCUAUUUUAAGAUUUAACUAUGCGUAUAAUUAUAAAAUUGGUUCCAGUAUUUUUAAUAUAAUAUCUAUAUAUUAUUAAUUAAUUUAGUACCUUUAAUUUAUUUUCAGAAAUCAUGUUACUAUUUUUUAUAAAAUAAAAAGGAAAAAACUGGCUAUUUAAAAUAUAGCCCCAUUUUGUUUCAAUUAUAGCCCAAAUUGAUCCCCCAAAUAACCAAAUUUCAAAUCCCAAAUUACCCAUCCCAAUUUAAAUUUAACCCGACCCCUGACCCGCUUAUCCGAUCUGCCCGACCCUCUCUUUAAUCCAGGCCGUUGAUCAUUUUGAUCAACGAUCACGAUCAUUUCUUACCUUUUUAAUUCCCCAAUGACUACCCUAAUCCCUUCAUUCUCUUCUAUCAGCCGCCUCUGAAAUCCCUCUCCUCUCAAACUCUCUCGAAACCCUAGCCUCUCUAACUGUCUUCUACCUCAAGCUCACCGGAAUCUAUAGCCUCUCAAGCCAUGGAUGGCCUAAACUCAUCUCCCUCUACUCUCAAACACUUGGUAUUCGAAGGUCCCAGGUCUGGCCUCAAAGGUGUCCGUUCAGAUCUCUAUAGAUCCAAGGUUCUAUGGCCCUUGCUGGUAUUGCUCCGGCGUAUAAUGAUGUUUUGAGCAUGGUUCUAACCUCUCCGACUCAGAUCGAACCUUUUCAAAGCCUUUCUCGUUUUAGGGUUCCUCUGAAACCCUAAGCUAUUCGAGAUUUUCUCUGAUUUUUCUUAGAUCUGUGCUCUACUUGAGUUUUUAAACGUUUUCCCUAAUUUUUCUUUCAAGAGAAUUACUUCUUUCCGAUUUAAGGUUUCUGAAAAAGCUUAAAAUGGUUCUCCGACUCUUCUUUUCCUUUCUUUGUGUGUAUUUGUUACGCAUGUGCUUCUACUGCUUUCUUAAGCUAUACAUGUUCUUCUGUGCUUUGUUGUUAUAACCCAAAUUUUUAUAUAUACGGAUUAACUUAAGAGUUUUAAAAUUUAUUUAAAUGGUUAGCGAACCUAAUUAACUAUUACACAUAUUAAAUUGGAUAAUAAAAUAACUCAGACAAAAUAAAAAUAAAAAUUAAAUAAAUGGGCUGAACUUCACGUAUUUUUCUUAUUAGCCUAUGUACAAAUACCUAAAGUAUAGGAAAAGGAGUUGUUUAGGUCUUACUUAAAAAUUAAAACAAAACAAGGAAUUAGAACAAAGAGAAGCAGAACUCGAAAGCAGCGAAGAAGAAAACCUGGGAAUUAGAAUCAGGUAAUUUGCAUAUAAUUUAGUUUGUAAUGAUUAUAUCAAUCAUUGGGAGACAAUAAUUAAUAAGUACAGAACUAAAUAUGAGAUAUGGAAUUGGAAAUUUGAACGAAGUCUCCAUCACAGUCUUUUGAAAAUCUGUUUGUAAAAUAAUCUGAAACUAUUAUAUGAAUACUAUAUUUAACAAGGAAACGUAGAAGGUAUAACAUUCAAUGAUUAAAGGUAAUUAUGUGAUAACGAUUAGAUUAAAAUGUUAGAUGAUAUUUUUGGCACAAGGCACAAUGGCAGUGUUUCGGCUAUUUGAUUGACAUGUAACUGUGUACUUGUUAUUAUUAAUUGGACCAAGAAUUGAUCUUGAGUUUGGCUAAGAUUAUGAAAUUUUUCUCUAGCCUAAUUAGGACAUGUUAUUCAAUAUUUUUAAUAGCUUUUAGAAACGAAUUUUGAGGAUUUGAAAGGCCAUUUGAACUCCGUUUUUGGUAAACUUUAUAUGUACGGACUCGUGGCGAGGCGAGGAAUCCGAUGAUGUGAUUUUCAGAAUUUUUCGAGAAGUGGGCCUGGGGCUCGGGUUAUACCAACUUCGCGAUUUUCAGUGUUUUUCGAGUAAUUUCAAUUGGGUUAUGUUUAUUUAGCAUAUAGUGACGUAUUCGUUGUGGUUUCGACUAGAUUCGAUGCACGUAGACGGAAAUUCAAAGGGAAAGGGCAUUGCAGACCAGUCUACUACCGGUUAGAGGUGAGUAAUUUGUAUAGACGAUGGCCUGAGGGUUUGAAACCCCGGUUUAUCACAUCGUGACGCUAUGUUAGGGCGUGACUCGCACCCCAUGGCAGGUGCAGGAUCGUAUAUGAUUGGGGAUUGUGACUUGAUCCAUCCCGAGAGCUAAAUAUAAUUAUUGGCGGCUGAUACGCACAUUGUAUUGUUGAUAAUUGGGUUUAUUGCCAUAUUUGAGGCCUUGUGCCGACCUGUAGAGUCCGUCUAGGAUGAAUAUCUUUGUGAUAGCAUGAUUUACAUAAUUAUUGAUCUCAGUCCUGUGUUUAAUCACUGUUAUUAAAUGCUAAGUCACCUUUUUCCUGAAAUUAAUUAACUAAAUUAUAUUCACCUUAAUAAUUGGAAACUGAGAAAAAAUUAGAUUGAAUCUGUUAUGUGACUCAUAUGCAUACUGUGGACUGAGUAUGGGUCGGGCUAUACGCCGCAGCAGUGAUAUAAUGAUAUUAUGCUUGGGCUGAAGGAGCCUCUUCGGAGUCUGUACACACCCCCAGUGAGCGCCGUCGACGUUAAACGGAUCGGGCUGUAUGCCGCAGCGGAUUCAUGUGCACUACAUUGCAUCUUUACCUGAUACUUGACUGCUAUAUUUGAUAUUGCUUUUGCUGUUAGUUCGUAGUUAAGGUAUAAGACUGUUAGGUUUAGCUUUGCUUUGUGGCAUUUCGUGGAUUUCCUACCUUCAGACAUUAUAUAUGCUUAUUACUCACUGAGUCGGUAGUACUCACCCCUACUCCCUGCACCAUGUGUGCAAAUUCAAGUACACCGGAGGCUUAGCUGAGCACUCGUAGUCUCCAGCUAUUUUCAGAGUCGUUGAGGUAGCUGCUUGACGUUCGCAGGACCUGGCUACUCUUUAUAUUUCAUUCAGAUAUUAUUAUCCAGUUUUGUUUAGAGGCUCUAGACUCGUGACCCAGAUCUUUGGGGAGUGAUUAUUCAGAUUUCAUAUUAUCUUCGUAAUUAUUCUAUUAAUAUUAUUGGAUUAUUAUUAUUCAGAAAUUAUUACAUUUUUCCUUAAAUUGUCGGUUUGAGAUUUAUUAUCGAAUUGAGAGCUAGUGAUGGUCAGGCUUGCCUAGCUUUAGUGUUGGGCGCCAUCACGAUCGGGUUUGGGUCGUGACAAGUUGGUAUCAGAGCCUAGGUUACUAGGCCUCGCGAGUCUUGAGCCGGUUUAGUAGAGUCUCGCGGAUCGGUACGUAGACGUCCGUAUCUAUCCUCGGGAGGCUACAGAACUUUUAGGAAACACCUCACUUUCUUGAAAUUCAUAUCGUGCGGCUUGUCGCUAUGAAAACUAAAAAUUUCUUUAUUCUAUUCUUUCGCAGAUGGCGAGAACCCGUGCUAACGGACUAGGAGGACGACCACCAGUACCACUUGCUAGAGGCCGUGGACGCGGCCGUGGUGCUGGACGAGGCGGACAAGCAGAGGCAGCACCUGCAGACCCACCAGCUGCCUAG